AGUCGAGGGGCAGCAUGGUCUUAGCUUGCUAAGACUGAUGGCGACCGGCGCACCGUUGAGUAACACGUAUCCAACCUGCCGUCUACUCUUGGACAGCCUUCUGAAAGGAAGAUUAAUACAAGAUGGCAUCAUGAGUCCGCAUGUUCACAUGAUUAAAGGUAUUCCGGUAGACGAUGGGGAUGCGUUCCAUUAGAUAGUAGGCGGGGUAACGGCCCACCUAGUCUUCGAUGGAUAGGGGUUCUGAGAGGAAGGUCCCCCACAUUGGAACUGAGACACGGUCCAAACUCCUACGGGAGGCAGCAGUGAGGAAUAUUGGUCAAUGGGCGAGAGCCUGAACCAGCCAAGUAGCGUGAAGGAUGACUGCCCUAUGGGUUGUAAACUUCUUUUAUAAAGGAAUAAAGUCGGGUAUGCAUACCCGUUUGCAUGUACUUUAUGAAUAAGGAUCGGCUAACUCCGUGCCAGCAGCCGCGGUAAUACGGAGGAUCCGAGCGUUAUCCGGAUUUAUUGGGUUUAAAGGGAGCGUAGAUGGAUGCUUAAGUCAGUUGUGAAAGUUUGCGGCUCAACCGUAAAAUUGCAGUUGAUACUGGAUAUCUUGAGUGCAGUUGAGGCAGGCGGAAUUCGUGGUGUAGCGGUGAAAUGCUUAGAUAUCACGAAGAACUCCGAUUGCGAAGGCAGCCUGCUAAGCUGCAACUGACAUUGAGGCUCGAAAGUGUGGGUAUCAAACAGGAUUAGAUACCCUGGUAGUCCACACGGUAAACGAUGAAUACUCGCUGUUUGCGAUAUACGGCAAGCGGCCAA
rnacentral:rRNA from 1 species